GAAUAAAGUCAGGUCACGGAGCCAGCAGCGGCAACCCGCUGGGGUCUCCGUUUCAGGCUGUGGAAGCUUUGUUGUUUCAGUCUUUGCAAUAAAUCUUGCUGCUGUUCACCCUUUGGGUUUGUGCGGCUUUUAUGAGCUGUAACACUCCCCGAGAAGGUCUGCAGUUCCACUCCUGAAGCCAGCGAGACUGGGAACCCACUGGGAGGGAGGAACAACUCCAGACGGGAGACACGAACAACUCUGGACGCGCCAUCUUUAUGAACCGUAAAAGUCACUGCGAGGGUCUGCGGCUUCAUUCUUGAAGUCAGCGAGACCAAGAACCCACCAAUUCCGGACACGAUCUGACUUAUCCUUGUAUGUGCUAAACUCAGUCUCUACCCACAAGUGGAUUUGUAACUGGUUAAUCUGUCCAUUGGGAAUGUUUACUGUGGGCCUACCAUGUACCAGGGACUACACCAUGCUAGGAAGACCUGCAUAGAGUUUACAGCUGGCUUGAGCCUAAGAGUCAUUCUUAGUCAUUCUCCAAGAGUGUGAGAGAAAGACGGUAAACUGGGGAUAUGCAGUGGGCACAGGUGAGAGAGAGGAGUUUGGCGGCACUGGUUUCCCAAGACACAGGACACAAGACCCCUCCAAUAAAACAGGAUGCAGUAGAGAAGCUGAGCAAAACCUACCAAAACCAAGAAGGCAACAGAAGUGGCCUCUGGUUACCCUUGCUGCUCAUUAUAUGCUAAUUAUAACACACUAGCAGGCAAAAAGGCACUCCCACCAGUGCCAUGAGGGUUUACAAAUGCCAUGGCAACCUGGCACCCCAAUCCCCACCCCCAAUAAAUUACCCGGAAAACUCAUGAAUAAUCCACACUUUGUUUAGCGUAUGAUCAAGAAAUAAAUCAUAAAAAUAGCCAACCAGCAGCCCUCAAGGCUGCCUUGCCUAUGGAGUAGGCACGUUUUUAUUGCAUUACUUUCUUA
rnacentral:lncRNA from 1 species